UUACGGCCAUAUCACGUUAAAACAUCAGUUCCCAUACGAUCACUAAAUUUAAGCAAAGUCGAGCCUGUCAGUACCUAGAUCGGUGACCGCUUGGGAAUAACAGGUACUGUAAU